AGAGCGAACGCUGGCGGCAGGCUUAACACAUGCAAGUCGAACGCUCAUCUUCGGAUGGGAGUGGCAGACGGGUGAGUAACACGUGGGAACGUACCCUUCGGUUCGGAACAACUCUGGGAAACUGGAGCUAAUACCGGAUACGCCCUUUUGGGGAAAGGUUUACUGCCGAAGGAUCGGCCCGCGUCUGAUUAGCUAGUUGGUGGGGUAACGGCCUACCAAGGCGACGAUCAGUAGCUGGUCUGAGAGGAUGAUCAGCCACAUUGGGACUGAGACACGGCCCAAACUCCUACGGGAGGCAGCAGUGGGGAAUAUUGGACAAUGGGCGCAAGCCUGAUCCAGCCAUGCCGCGUGAGUGAUGAAGGCCUUAGGGUUGUAAAGCUCUUUUGUCCGGGACGAUAAUGACGGUA
rnacentral:rRNA from 1 species